GGCGGCAUGCCUAACACAUGCAAGUCGAACGUGAUCCAUGACUUCGGUUGUGGUGAAAGUGGCAGACGGGUGAGUAACGCGUGGGAACCUGCCCAAUGGUAGGGAAUAACCGCGGGAAACUGCGGCUAAUACCCUAUGACCCCUGCGGGGGAGAGAUUUAUCGCCAUUGGAGGGGCCCGCGUCGGAUUAGGUAGUUGGUAGGGUAACGGCCUACCAAGCCAUCGAUCCGUAGCUGGUCUGAGAGGAUGAUCAGCCACACUGGGACUGAGAUACGGCCCAGACUCCUACGGGAGGCAGCAGUGGGGAAUAUUGGACAAUGGGGGCAACCCUGAUCCAGCAAUGCCGCGUGAGUGAUGAAGGCCUUCGGGUUGUAAAGCUCUUUCGGCGGGGAAGAUGAUGACGGUACCCGCAGAAGAAGCCCCGGCUAACUUCGUGCCAGCAGCCGCGGUAAUACGAAGGGGGCUAGCGUUGUUC
rnacentral:rRNA from 1 species